AAUGUCUUUCACAUGACACAAAUCUGGGUUCAUGGUGACAAGGGGUACAAAACUUGCAGCCUUCCUAUGAACAAACACCCAACACAU
ensembl:snoRNA